GGCAGCAGCACCAACCAGCAGACAUGCCGGCAAACCCCCAGCCCCCAGCCAGCCCUGGGAUGAACGCAGCUGGGCCAGAGCACCCAGGAAUUACUUUGAUAAAGCCGAAAAAUCAUUUUAAAGCAACUGAACAGAACUCACCAAGACUUGAGCUGUGCUCAAGCUCUUCUGGAGUCUGGGGUCACUGGGUUCAUCUCCGGCUGCCAGGAGCCACCAUGGAUGCCUGCAGUCCAUGCCAGAGGUCUAAGGAGCCCUUGCUGGGGCUCGGUCCAGCGGGAGUGUGCAGUGGCGGAACCCGGCCUGCCACCCGCUCACUCACCCCAAGUCUGAGAAAUA